rnacentral:rRNA from 1 species
GGAAUAUUGGUCAAUGGACGAAAGUCUGAACCAGCCAAGUAGCGUGCAGGAUGACGGCCCUAUGGGUUGUAAACUGCUUUUAUACAGGGAUAAAGUCAGUUACGUGUAACUGUUUGUAGGUACUGUAUGAAUAAGGACCGGCUAAUUCCGUGCCAGCAGCCGCGGUAAUACGGAAGGUCCGGGCGUUAUCCGGAUUUAUUGGGUUUAAAGGGAGCGCAGGCUGAUGAUUAAGCGUGACGUGAAAUGUAGCCGCUCAACGGCUGAACUGCGUCGCGAACUGGUUUUCUUGAGUGAGUACGACGUCAGCGGAAUUUGUGGUGUAGCGGUGAAAUGCUUAGAUAUCACGAAGAACUCCGAUUGCGAAGGCAGCCGGCGAGUCCUCAACUGACGCUAAUGCUCGAAAGUGCGGGUAUCGAACA